rnacentral:rRNA from 1 species
UACGUAGGGUGCAAGCGUUGUCCGGAAUUAUUGGGCGUAAAGGGUGCGUAGGCGGCGCGGUAAGUCGGGUGUGAAAUCUCGGAGCUUAACUCCGAAACUGCAUUCGAUACUGCCGUGCUUGAGGACUGGAGAGGAGACUGGAAUUUACGGUGUAGCGGUGAAAUGCGUAGAUAUCGUAAGGAAGACCAGUGGCGAAGGCGGGUCUCUGGACAGUUCCUGACACUGAGGCACGAAGGCCAGGGGAGCAAACGGG